GAUGAAGAACGUAGCGAAAUGCGAUAAGUAAUGUGAAUUGCAGAAUUCAGUGAAUCUUCGAAUCUUUGAACGCACCUUGCGCUCUUUGGUAUUCCGAAGAGCAUGCCUGUUUGAGUGUCAUGAAAAUAUCAACCUUGACUUGGGUUUUGUGCUCUAGUCUCGGCUUGGAAUUGGGUGCUUGCCGCUUUUACGAGCGGCUCACCUUAAAUGUAUUAGCUGGAUCUGUCUUUGAGACUUGGUUUGACUUGGCGUAAUAAGUAUUUCGCUAAGGACAUUCUUCGGAGUGGCCUCGUUUCUAGGACGCUUGUCCGCUUUCCAAUACAAGUUCCACCUCGUGGACAUGACUUUUUAUUAUCUGGCCUCAAAUCAGGUAGGACUACCCGCUGAACUUAAGCAUAUCAAUAAGCGGAGGA
rnacentral:misc_RNA from 1 species